GUGGACCCACUUAUCAAGAAAUAAAUUUGUGGAUCCCACAGCCAUUUUCUCUCCCCCUACCUUUUCCCCCCUUUCCCUCCCAAACACAAAAUCAAUGACACUGCCAAAAAAUUGCUCAAGAAAAAAUUAAUCACAAAUUUCACAAGUAACUACAAAACAAAAAGAGCAUUAGCAAGUUUAAAAGUAGAGAUUCAGCCAAUAUGUCAUUGAACAUUCAAGAAGAGAUCUUAAAAUUCCUCUAAAUGAGAGCCCAAACUUAGAACUAUAUUUGCGAAUAUUUCCAUCAUCUCCAAGUCUGCCAGCUCAACAAAUAUUGUACUUGAAUUGUCACCAGAAAAGCUCUAAUUCAGAUUCCAUCUCCAGACUCACUGGCCACACACCUUGGCUAAUACCAUUAACAAAUUGAAAAAAUCAACCUGUUCAGAGAAACAAGAGACACUCUCCCCAAACACCAAACAAAAAGUUA
rnacentral:misc_RNA from 1 species